rnacentral:lncRNA from 1 species
AUUUUAUGGCCACAAAAAAAAAAACACGAAGUUCUCGGGCCAAGGAAUGAAUCCUAUGCCACAGCUGUAGCAACGCUGGACCCUUUAACCCACUGCCCUGGGCUGCGGAUUGAACCUGAACCUCUGUAGUGACCUGAACCGCAUCAGAUUCUUUUUUUCUUUUUUAUGGCCACAGCUGCGGCAUAUGAAGUUCCUGGGGUAGGGGUCAAAAUGGAGCUGCAGCUGCAGGCCUACACCAUAGCCACAGCAACACCAGAUCUGAGCUGCACCUGCGACUUUAUACCACAGAUCAUAGCAAUGCAGGAUCCUUAACCCCCUGAGCAAGGCAGGGAUCAAACCCACUGGUUCUUAGCCCACUGAGCCACAAGGGGAAAUCCUGCAAUCAGAUUCUUAACCCACUGCACCAAAGAGGGAACUCCAGAAGUGGCUUAUUUUAAGCUGAGUUCAAGAAAUAUACAAUGAUAGGGAGUUCCCAUCAUGGUUCAGUGGCAACAAACCCAACUAGGCUCCAUGAGGAGGUGGGUUUGAUUCCAGACCUCACUCAGUGGGUUAAGGAUCCAGUGUUGCUGUGGUGUAGGUUGCAGAAAGGACUCAGACCCUGUGCUGUUGUGGCUGCAGCAUAGGAUGUCAGCUAUAGCUCUAAUAUGACCCCUAGCCUGGGAACUUCCACAUGCCACGAGUGCAGCCCUAAAAAAGCAAGAAAAUAAAAGUAUAUAAUCCUAAAAUAUGUAAAACUGAAGUUAUACCCAUAUAUACUAUAAUAAAAAAAUUCAUGCUACUCCUAAGGACAAUAUUAUUUUAUGAAGGUGUUUUCGCUACUAUAUAAAUCUUAAUUUUUUUCUUAAUGAUAAAGGUUCAUAUUUUCAAUGUAACUUGAUACUAGGUAUGGGUUAAUAUUUUGUUUUUUAUUUUAUUUUUUGCUUUUUAGGGCCGCAGGUGCAGCAUAUGCAAGUUCCCAGGCUAGAAGUCUAUUUGGAGCUACAGCUGCCAACCUCCACCACAGCCACAGCAACUUGGGAUCCAAGCCAUGUCUGUGACCUACACUACAGCUUUUGGCAAUGCCAAAUCCAUAACCCACUGAGUGAGGCCAGGGAUCAAACCCACAUCCUCAUGGAUACUAGUCAGAUUCGUUUCCACUG